AUGAGCAAGCCACUCCUCGAGCUGAUGGCGGCCGUGGACGCCAGCCCUGUGGCCGCGGAGGGCGACGGGGCUAACUUGGUAUCCCGACGCCGUGCGAGCUACGGCCGCAGCCGACAGACGGUGCCGGUGGUGGCGCCGCAGAUCCCGCCCGCGCCAUCGACGGAGACGGACGCCAGCUUCGAGUUCAGCGCCGUGAUCAGCAACAGCUCGGCGUCGCCCGCCAGCAUGGUGUUCUCGGACGGCCAGCUCCGGGCGCACCAGUUCCCCGCCGUGCGGUCACCGGCGGGCUGCAGCCAGGCCGCGUCGCCGGUGCUGGGCUCAUCCGUGGGUGGCACGGCCGGGAGCAAGAAGCGUGUCAGCUUCGCGGCGGACGGCGCCGGGAAGACGGCGGCCAAGUCCGGUGGUGCGCAGAAGAAAGGCGGCGGCAUGCUGGGGUGCAUCGGGUCAGCGUGCGGGCUGUCUCGUGACGAAGUGGUGGAGCCGACCAUCAACGCUAAUCGUAAGGUUGUGUGUGUUUGA
rnacentral:rRNA from 1 species